rnacentral:rRNA from 1 species
AGUGAACGCUGGCGGCGUGCUUAAUACAUGCAAGUCGAACGAUGAAGUCCUAGCUUGCUAGGAUGGAUUAGUGGCGCACGGGUGAGUAAUAUAUAGUUAAUCUGCCUUGCACUGAGGAACAACAGUUGGAAACGAUUGCUAAUACCUCAUACUCCAACUUUACAUAAGUUAAGUUGGGAAAGUCUUUUCGGUGCAAGAUGAGACUAUAUCGUAUCAGCUAGUUGGUAAGGUAAUGGCUUACCAAGGCUAUGACGCGUAACUGGUCUGAGAGGAUGAUCAGUCACAUUGGAACUGAGACACGGUCCAAACUCCUACGGGAGGCAGCAGUAAGGAAUAUUGUGCAAUGGGGGAAACCCUGACGCAGCAACGCCGCGUGGAGGAUGACACUUUUCGGAGCGUAAACUCCUUUUGUUAGGGAAGAAUAAUGACGGUACCUAACGAAUAAGCACCGGCUAACUCCAUG